UGCAGCAAUAAGUCCUGCAUGCAGUGGGAACUCUGCAGUGCCCCAGAGAAAGAAGCCAGGGGAAAGGUGAAGUCAACAGAUGUUCACUAUGAUGGGAUUUUAGCUUUAGAGCCAAGGGACAUCAGCAACAUACUUGGCUGUUCGGAUAAAGAAUAUUACAGUAAGAGAAGGCAAAUGCCCACUCAGGAACAUCUGCUCUGCAGAGCACCUACAAAAAUAACCCAAGGACCAUGAAGGAAGCCUGAGGCUGGUGAGUUCCAAUGGGAAGGAGGAGGAGGAAAGACAGGUGGAGAAUUA
rnacentral:lncRNA from 1 species